rnacentral:siRNA from 1 species
GUGGUAUACUCCUCUUUCCUGCA